rnacentral:rRNA from 1 species
GUGAGGAAUAUUGGUCAAUGGGCGAAAGCCUGAACCAGCCAUGUCGCGUGAAGGAUGAAGGUCCUAUGGAUUGUAAACUUCUUUUGCAGGAGGGUAAAGUGAGCUACGUGUAGUUCAUUGCAAGUACCCUGCGAAUAAGCAUCGGCUAACUCCGUGCCAGCAGCCGCGGUAAUACGGAGGAUGCGAGCGUUAUCCGGAUUUAUUGGGUUUAAAGGGUGCGUAGGCGGACUAAUUAGUCAGCGGUGAAAUUUUGCGGCUCAACCGUAAAACUGCCGUUGAAACUGUUAGUCUUGAGUGCGGUAGAGGUAGGCGGAAUGUGUGGUGUAGCGGUGAAAUGCUUAGAUAUCACACAGAACACCGAUUGCGUAGGCAGCUUACUGUAGCGCCACUGACGCUGAAGCUCGAAAGUGCGGGUAUCGAACAGGAUUAGAAACCCCAGUAGUCC